CUUGGCGACCAUGCGUUUUGGACCCACCUGAACCCAAUUACCGAACUCAGAAGUGAAACGGAAAUAGGUCCGUCGAUGGUAGUGUGGGGUUCCCCAUGUGAGAGUAGAACAUCGCCAGGC
rnacentral:rRNA from 1 species